AGCGAACGCUGGCGGCAGGCUUAACACAUGCAAGUCGAGCGGGUGUAGCAAUACAUCAGCGGCAGACGGGUGAGUAACGCGUGGGAACGUACCUUUUGGUUCGGAACAACACAGGGAAACUUGUGCUAAUACAGGAUAAGCCCUUACGGGGAAAGAUUUAUCGCCGAAAGAUCGGCCCGCGUCUGAUUAGCUAGUUGGUAGGGUAACGGCCUACCAAGGCGACGAUCAGUAGAUGGUCUGAGAGGAUGAUCAGCCACAUUGGGACUGAGACACGGCCCAAACUCCUACGGGAGGCAGCAGUGGGGAAUAUUGGACAAUGGGGGCAACCCUGAUCCAGCCAUGCCGCGUGAGUGAUGAAGGCCCUAGGGUUGUAAAGCUCUUUUGUGCGAGAAGAUAAUGACGGUACCGCAAGAAUAAGCCCCGGCUAACUUCGUGCCAGCAGCCGCGGUAACAC
rnacentral:rRNA from 1 species